rnacentral:rRNA from 1 species
UUCCGUAGGUGAACCUGCGGAAGGAUCAUUAUUGAUUGUGAAUGGUUGCCUUCAGUGCUGGCUCCGGCAAGUGCACGCUGGUGACUUCAAUCCAAUACCCUUGUGAACCAUUGGCCUCUUGCUAGCUUCGGCUGGUAGAGGAUAUUUACACCAACUCGAAUGUAAUGAAAUUAUUGUUGUGCGCAAGCACUAAUGUACAACUUUCAACAACGGAUCUCUUGGCUCUCGCAUCGAUGAAGAACGCAGCGAAAUGCGAUAAGUAAUGUGAAUUGCAGAAUUCAGUGAAUCAUCGAAUCUUUGAACGCACCUUGCACCCUUUGGCAUUCCGAAGGGUAUGCUCGUUUGAGUGUCAUUGUACUCUCACACUUCCAAUUCUAUGGAUUGGGAGCGGUGGACUUGGGCGCUGCUGCUUUACUGUGGCUCACCUCAAAUGCAUUAGUGCAACCCUUGGUUAGACAUAGUACGGCGUGAUAAGUGUCUUCGCUGGCGCCUCACUUAGAGGGUGGCUGAUCAGGGGCUCUGUGCUUCAAACCGUCUUUGGACAAUGGCUGACAACUUGACCUCAAAUCGAGUAGGACUACCCGCUGAACUUAAGCAUAUCAAUAAGCGGAGGAAAAGAAACUAACAAGGAUUCCCCUAGUAACGGCGAGUGAAGAGGGAAGAGCUCAAAUUUUGAAUCUGGCGUCUUUGGCGUCCGAAUUGUAAUCUAGAGAAGUGUUUUCCGUGACGGACCGUGCAUAAGUCUCCUGGAAUGGAGUGUCAUAGAGGGUGAGAAUCCCGUAUAUGGCACGGACUCCCGUUGCUCUGUGAUACACUCUCGACGAGUCGAGUUGUUUGGGAAUGCAGCUCCAAAUGGGUGGUAAAUGCCAUCUAAAGCUAAAUAUUGGCGAGAGACCGAUAGCGAACAAGUACCGUGAGGGAAAGAUGAAAAGCACUUUGGAAAGAGAGUGAAACAGUACGUGAAAUUGUUGAAAGGGAAACGCUUGAAGUCAGUCGCGCCGUUCGGGAUUCAGCCUUGCUUCUGCUCGGUUUACUUCCCGUUGGGUGGGUCAACAUCAGUUCUAGACGGAGGAGAAAGGCUUGGGGAAGGUAGCAGCAUUCGUGCUGUGUUAUAGCCCCUUGUUGUAUACUUCGAUUGGGACUGAGGACUGCAGCACGCCUUUGGCCGGGGUUCGCCCACGUACGUGCUUAGGAUGUUGGCAUAAUGGCUUUAAGCGACCCGUCUUG